rnacentral:rRNA from 1 species
CCUACGGGAGGCUGCAGUGAGGAAUAUUGGUCAAUGGCCGGAAGGCUGAACCAGCCAAGCCGCGUGAAGGACGAAGGUGCCAAGCAUUGUAAACUUCUUUUGUCAAGGGCCAAACUCAGGCUCGAGAGCCUGACCGAGGGUACUUGAAGAAAGAGCAUCGGCUCACUCCGUGCAAGCAGCCGCGGUAACACGGAGGAGGCGAGGGUUCUCCGGUUUUUUUGGGUUUAAAGGGUGCGUAGGCGGGCGGUUAAGUCAGCGGUAAAAUCCCGGGGCUCAACCCCGGCGAGCCGUUGAAACUGGCUGGCUUGAGAGGGCGAGAGGUGUGCGGAAUGCGCAGUGUAGCGGUGGAAUGCGUAGAUAUUGCGCAGAACUCCGAUGGCGAAGGCAGCAUACCGGCGGCGAUCUGACGCUGAGGAACGAAAGCGUGGGGAGCGAACAGGAUUAGAUACCCGAGUAGUC